AAAAAAGAAAAAAAAAAAAAAAGAAAGCAAAACAAGACAUUGUUUCAGCAAUGGGCCCAGAUCUUUUCCCCAAGCUUACUAUUCUCCGCCGUCUGUUCUUUUGGCCUUCUGUUUC
rnacentral:ribozyme from 11 species